GACGAUCGAGGUGCCGGAUGUGAAGAGCGGGAGCGUGGAGACUCGGAGCCCGAGCCACAAAAGAUUGCACACAAACUGGUUUGAUGCUCUCCUGACCAGUGUCCCUUCUCUGAUGCUUGGUCCUGAAGGCAGUGGAAGCCAAACUUACCCUGGCGCUGUCUGCUGAGCUGUGCAGAAUUUCCAACAUUGAAGAUGGAGCAUCAGUUUUAUUUUUAUUUAAGUAAUUGUACACCCAACGUGGGGCUCAAACUCACCACCCCAAGAUCAAGAAUCACGUGCUUUUCCGACUCAGCCAGCCAGGUGCCCCUCUAAUCUGUUUUUCUUCAUUUAUAAUCCUUAAGCCAGUUGCCGUGUUGAGACGCUCUCCUGGCCAGGAAAUGAGGCGCCUGCCAAUAGUCGUGUGGUGUGCCAUCCUGGAAUUGGAUCCUUGAGCCCUGGCCGAGCCUUCAGGUAGACUGCAGCCUGGCAGAGAGUUGCAGUGCCACCUCAAGAGAAAGCCUGAGCCAGAACUGCACAGAUGAGCUGCUCCUGACUCUCAGAAAUGGUGUGAGAUAAUAAACAUUUGUUGUUUUAAGCCACCAGAUUAUGGGUUAUUUGUUAUGUAACAACUAAUAAACUGCUUGCGAAUUUGUGA